GACCCUGCUGCUGCCUCCAUCGUGAGCUGGGAACUGUGCCCAACCCAGGGGGGACCCUCUGCUGGACCCAGCCCCUAGGGCAGCCCCAGGCUCUGCCGACACCAGCUCCUGAGCCGGAGCCUGCAGUUUUGACCUUCAGAACAUAAUGAACACACAUCUACAACCCCGAGAUACCUUGAAAGCCACAGGAAUUCUAAAAUCUUGAGUUAUACACCCUGAAGUCAAGAAAUUUUAAUAAAUACAUGAUAUUUUGUUCUUGUGUGCCUCUUUGUUCCUGAGCCUUUAGGGUGUAGUAAGGCCAGUUCCACCAAAGCUGGAGCCUAAACACCUGAAUGAAUCUUAGUCCACCCUCAUACUUUUCCUGUUAUCUCUCCCAAACAUUUCAUAUGCCUAAGGCCAUAUCUACACUACAAGCGUAUGUUAACUCAAGUUAUGUCAGCAUAGGCUCGCUACAGUUACUAUGUCACUUGUGCACAUGCCUACUCACUUGUGGGCAUGCAGAGUCCCAAGCAUAGAAGUGGGGGACAUCAUGAUUCUAUGCAGAACAGAUUGCUGUGGGACAUAGCAACAACCAAUUCAAACUUGUUGGUGGCAUUCACAGGUUUGGGAUGAUGAGCAUUGGCUGCACAAGGCCAAAAUCCUUGCUCUGUGUGCCAAACUUGCCAAAAUGACAGUUGCACUGACAGUGGAGAAGCAAAUACAGAUUUCACUGUGGAAACUUUCGAGAGAUUGCUACCUCUUACUCAGAAGUAUCUCAACUGUAUUGUGGCACUCUGGACCUUAAAGCAGUACCCUCCCCCUUCCAUUCACCCCGUCAUAUGAUAUAUUUCAUACAAAGAAUGUCAUAUCACAUAUCAUGAAAGGUCAGGAUCUGCUGAAACCCAUUGUUCUGUCAUAUUAUUAGUGCCUAUCAAGUUAUGAAAUUUUCCUCUAUGGUUGUUACUGAAAUAUGUUGUAAGUUUGGGAGUUGCUCUCCAGUAACAACAGAAGAGGGAAUGUACAGCCAGGUGGGCACUGAGUGAUCAUCAACAGCCAUUACUUGUUGGGAGUUGUCAACAAGUUGUAAUGGGAGUUGUAAUCAGUGGAUUUCCAAUUCAAUGACAAACCAUACCAGGGGUAUUUCUGAACACUUUCACUCUGCAAAGCCCAUCAUCACCUUUCUGGGCAAGGAUUUUCCAGGCACAUGGACUCAAGCUAUAAAAUAAAAGCAACAUGCAUUCGCCUCAAAAUCUUCACCCGCCUAUGCUGGAAGCAACCUGAACGCUGGGAAAACAAAUGGUUCAGCUCAGGAUACUGAGAAGGAGAAGGCUCUGACAUUUUCAACCACUGCACUGAAGAAUCCAGGUGUGUACAGUAUGUGUUAUGCCUACAUCAUGCAGACAUAGGCCUUUUCCUCACUGCUAAAAAAAACUUAGAUUUUUUUAUCACCUUGCUGUAAGAAGGGUGAUUGAUCUGUUGUGAAGUGACAACACAAUGAAGACAAGACAACACAACUUUUAACAGUGUGGGAAAAGGCUCAAGAAAAUGUCUCAAAAAUUAAAUCGGAGAGCAAUAAUGACAUGUGAGCACCACGGUUUUGAGUGUAAAUUUUUUGUGGUGAUACCCUUGUUGCUUGAUAUAUGUAACAGUGACAAAAGUGGAAGUCUGUAUAAAGCACAAUGGUAGCUUUUCUACCUAUGAGCUUUCUUUCAAAAGGAAUUCAUAAGCAUUUCAAAUACUAUUUAUAAUGCUUUGCACUACUCCCAAUGUUUUGUGUGCAUUCAAUGUUUCUUUACUAAUAGACUGUAUGACCUACUAUACAGUGGAAAGGGACUAAUACAGAUUUCUUUUGAAAUGAUCAGACUUUCAUUAAGGGUUUUUCAUGCAAUAGCCAUGAAAUUCAACGUGUAAAAUGGUUUUUAAAUAGUCCUGAAAAGAUGUGGGCUUGGUCCUCUGUACUCCAAAAAUGUGUUUGGUAUCAAGUGUUAUCUAAUAGGUACUGUGAGGAUGUUGCCUAAGCAUCUUGUCAUAUAACUAAAGUGUCACUUAUGAUUUCUUGAGUAAUAAACAUCAUGAACAUAAGGCUGUGACACUCUGAUCCUCAAAGUAGUACCUGGAACCCCCAUAUUUAGUAUUGUCAUAGGAUUAAUAGAUGUUUUGUACAAAUGCAUGCUUUUACUUUUUAAAUGUUUUUCAUGCCUGUUAUCAUCACGAUACAUAAAUGUGUGUGUUAUAUGGGUUUAUUUACUUCAGAUUCUUCAGCAUUUCAGAAAACUGAUUUUUCAAAAAAAAAAAAAAAAAAAAACUUUAUUAGGAAAAGAACUCCCGGUAAUAAAAAUCAGUAUGGCAGAUAAGGCGGGUAAGAAGAGGGUUUCCAUGUAUAUGCUCUGUUGUUUUCUGAAUGUAUUAAACAGUGUCUGCAAACACCCCUGCUUGUGCUUUUUUAAAAUUCACAUUCUUGUGCUGUUAUAUUUCCUAUCCUGGGUUACUAUGAUUUCAUUUUGUUAAAAUGUUACAGGUGUUCUCAUUAUUUCAAAUGAAAUGUGAUUUCUAUAGAUCAAAUGCUGGCACACUUUGUAACAAAAAUACUUUGAACUUAUGCACAUAGCUCACAUGUAUUUAUGUAGCCCUUGUGAUUGGCCUAUGAAUGAUGCUGCAUUGUGGAGUUUGUUGAGUUUGGCUUUCCCUGCUUAUAUGUCUGCAAUUUUCAUGUCAUACCUACAAUAUAAACGCUGCUUAUUAUAUGCAUA